CCCUUAGAUGUCCUGGGCCGCACGCGCGCUACACUGACAUGUUCAACAAGCCUCCUAGUUCGACAGGAUUUGGGAAAUCUUUGAACGCAUGUCGUGAUAGGGAUAGAUCAUUGCAAUUAUUGAUCUUGAACGAGGAAUUCCUAGUAAACGCGAGUCAUCAGCUCGCAUUGAUUACGUCCCUGCCCUUUGUACACACCGCCCGUCGCACCUACCGAUUGAAUGUUUCGGUGAAGAUUCCGGAUAGGACUUUUUUGAUUUAUUUCAAUUCUGUCUUAAAAGCUAUCUAAACCUCAACAUUUAGAGGAAGGUGAGGUCGUAACA
rnacentral:rRNA from 1 species